UGAUGGUGCUAAAAAGAAGAGCUAGUGUGUUGCUGAAGCCUUAUACUUGUAUCCCAAGGCACUGUGCUUCUGCCCUGCUCUGCAGGAACCCUGACAGCACAGCUCCCGCAGUUCUGGAUGCAGAGGUUAGCCUUUGUUCUUCAUCUCUCUACAUGCUGAAGAAACUGCAAGGUGGCCAAACCAACAAACUCACAACUGGAUCAGUGCAGCGGAAAGAGCAGAAUUUUAAAUUACAAAUGUGCACAGGAGCUGCAGAAAAACAGAGGUCAGAUGUGAAACACAUCCGUUACAGUCAUUUUGUCCUAACGGAGGGAUUGCUCCCACUCCUAUGAGAAAUUGCUGCUACUUUUAAGCUACAUUCUCCAUCUUCUUAACAUGGCUGCAGAACUGGAGUUCAAAGACUGGUAACAGAAUCUCAGUGGUUAAAUCAAAGUGAAACGUAUUGUUACUAAUUAUUUUAUAACAGUUAUUCCUACUGAACACCAAUGACAAGGUUUGUUUUUUUCCAUGCCAAUUCAGUGUUACUGUGCUGUAAUGCAUUGGGCAGCAAAAGCAGACACACAGGACUGUGGAAUUCAUCCGCUCUGAACACCAGGAGAACUGUCAUUAAUUUCUCCCUGUGCAAUUAACCUGAACCACUUUCAUGACGGCUCGCAUUGCUUAUGAACAAGCCGGACUUCGUGUCCUCAGUUUGCUUUUAAUGCCUCAGUGGAAGUUUAGACUUCAGUUAAUAUGUUGCUGCAUUUGCAGAUGUAAAUAAACAGAAGGUGGAGUUGAUCCCCAGGAUCUGGACGUGAGACCUGACCCACAUUUGAGAACAGAGAGCCAUUCUUCAGAGACUUUACAUCAGGAAUACGGUUAUUUACAGACUACAAGCACUUAGAAAAUAUUUAGCUUAUGCUUUGAAUAUUGAUGUGACGGUGGGUUUUUUUUUUCCCCUUCUGCAGGCUUAUUUAUUACUAUACAGAUUUACAAUUUUGCUUUUAAAUUAUUUAUAUACACAUGGCUCAAAGGGAGAGUCUACCACCAAGGAGAACAAUAACAAAUAGUUCUGUUCGUGGAUGGUGAAUUGCUCCUUGGCAUCACUCAUCCUUCUUUUGGAUUUAC
rnacentral:lncRNA from 7 species